rnacentral:rRNA from 1 species
ACGAACGCUGGCGGCAUGCCUAACACAUGCAAGUCGAACGAGACCUUCGGGUCUAGUGGCGCACGGGUGCGUAACGCGUGGGAACCUGCCCUUAGGUUCGGAAUAACUCCCCGAAAGGGGUGCUAAUACCGGAUAAUGUCUUCGGACCAAAGAUUUAUCGCCUUUGGAUGGGCCCGCGUUGGAUUAGCUAGUUGGUAGGGUAAAAGCCUACCAAGGCGACGAUCCAUAGCUGGUCUGAGAGGAUUAUCAGCCACACUGGGACUGAGACACGGCCCAGACUCCUACGGGAGGCAGCAGUGGGGAAUAUUGGACAAUGGGCGAAAGCCUGAUCCAGCAAUGCCGCGUGAGUGAUGAAGGCCUUAGGGUUGUAAAGCUCUUUUACCCGGGAUGAUAAUGACAGUACCGGGAGAAUAAGCUCCGGCUAACUCCGUG